GGUUUAUUAGAAGCCCAUGUUCAAAUGGUUUUGUCCAUCUAAUUUGGGAGUUAAUGGAUUUCAGUCCAAUUGGACAACUUUGAUUUUUGGAUCUAAUAUGGUCAGACCAUUUGGUUUUGGACCUGGCUAACCCAUGCAUGGUCAGUAAACCCAUUUGAUAUCCCUAUGCUCAAGUCUGGUGGAUCUUCUGAUUCUAUUGGGAAUGCCACUUAUCUAGAUACAUCGGAUCUUAGUGGAUGCUCAAGUCUGAAGGUGCUCCCCUACUCUAUUGAAAAUUGUUGUAAAUUUCCUCGUUUCAAUUUGAAAGGGUGGUCAAAGACAACGGCUCUUCCAACCAAACUCAACUUCCGAUCUGGUGGUGCACUUGAUCUCCCACAAAGGACAAAAUCCAAAACGUUCGUUAGAAGCCCUCUGCCUAAAACCACAGAACAAACAUAAACGAGAGAGUAAAGAGCGUCUGAGUGUGUGAUGAUAAAAACACAAGACAAAAACUAAGAACAAAAACAGAGUAACAAAGAUGAUGGAGGGGCUGGCCGUGAGAAGAGUGAGAUGAGAGGUCAAGCCAAAGAGAAAAGUUCAACAGACGCAAAAGACAACAACAGAUUGUGAUCAAACAUUCAGAGAUCUCUCGAGGAGCAAAACAAAACAAUAAUGGUGUUUCCUAGAAUACUUGCUUUCCUCGAAGUUCUCAGCGCCCUCCUCUUUCUACCGUCUUGAUUACGUCUGUUCUUUACAGUGCUUUUGUGGUCAAAAGUACUGACACAAAGAUGCAUUUCAGGAUGCUCCAGGUGAACAUCAUACGCAGAGGCCGGAGGUAUAUUAGGUUGUUUAACUCCUUGGUUUUAAACUCAGUGAGGCAAUCUUAUUGGAAAGAGGUAUGUAUGUUUAUGAGCUGGGUUUUGCAUCCUUCUUUUGACUGAUUUUUCACAAGAGUCUCAAAGUUGUGAUUAGUGAUUUCAAGGUUAAGGCGGUUUGAUAAACUAAAGGCAAAAGCUGAAAAGGUGCUGGAGAUUUGUAUUGAAACAGAUCCUAAUUUGAGAUAACUACGUUGCUCUUAACGUGAAUAUAACUCUACUUUGGUUGGAUCUAAAUCCCCAAAUGAAGACGUACACACGCGAAGCAGCUGCGAAAGCAGGAUAGAAACCCAAAGACUUUAGUUUCAAGCAAGGAGUAGGAGAAGCUAUACCUUUAGAUGAUGCUUCCGUGGAUGCAGUCGUUGCGACACUUGCUCUAUGUUCUGUCUCCAGGGGCGGACCCACGUACAGGGAGAGUGGGGCAUGAGCCACAUACUAAUAAAAUUAAAUCCUUGUACAAAUUUCAUGUACCAAUGGAAUCGCUAGCUUUUACGGCUGAUGGUGCUUGAAAUAGCUCAACUGUGCCCCACCCAGCUCGGUUCGCAUCCCACGAAAUACUGUGUGUUUUUCAUAAUUAUCUACACUUUUCGAUUCUUUUUCCUUUUUUUUUGCUACCUAAAACUAUCUUUCUGUUUUACUAUUCUUUCCCUUUCCUAAUAUUAGUUUUUGACAAAGUGAAAACUAUAAUUCAUAUAAAGGUAUUCUAACAAGUUGUUUUAUUAAGUUUAUUUUUAAUAUUUAGAUUAAAAUAAGUAAUAAAAUAAAUAAAUGUAUUUCAUAAUGAAAUUAUCAUGUGCUAUAUAAUAUUAUUUAAAUUAUUUACAAUUAGAAAAGUUGUUUACCUUUUCAUAUGACUUGGAAAAAUAAAAAUGUGAGUUUUAAUGAUU